rnacentral:tRNA from 1 species
GUCCCCAUCGUCUAGCGGUUAGGACAAUGCCCUCUCAAGGCGUAAACAGGGGUUCGAUUCCCCUUGGGGAUACCA